CUCACUGUUUGGUCUCCAGAAAUAUUCAGCCAGCACUGAUGAGUGGUGGUGAGCUGGCAGUGGAGCGAGGCCAGCUCCUCAGGAGGUUUGAAAUGUUGUGGGCAUUGUGACCUGGUAACCCUCCUCUUCAGAAACCUCUGCCACUGUGAUCCUUUAGACCUGAGAAAUAAGACUGAGGAGUUUUCCAGUUAGUUCUUUUAAAGGAGACUGAUGUGUAGCAGUGCCUAGAAGUUGGCUGCCCAGUUCAUGAAUGGUUUCUGCUGCUAGCAGGCUGCUGGAGCUAUUUCAGAACUGCACUUCUCUGACUGCAUCAGGAGGUGCAAGCUCAGAGCCACUCACGUAAGCUUGCCUUAGGGGUAUCAGCGGUAGUGGAGUCUCUAAUGAAAAAAAUAACUGAAACAACAACAAGAGAAAUGAGGAAAAUGAAGAUUUUCAGACAACAAGUCUUUUAUCUGUGCCUCCGCUGGGUGAGGGAGAAGACCAUAUCCUCCUUGAACCCUCUGCCUGGUUGUGUGCGAUUCUGUAGCAAUUUGUUUCUUCAUGAACAGAAAAGAUUGUGUGAACAGCUAACUCGUGUUCAGCUUUGAUGUCGUAUUGUUUGGGAAACCUCCUGAAGCUUCAGAGGCACUCUUCGGCAGAGCAGCACUGCCAGCCAGCACGACGGGGAGGAGCGCUUGGAUUUCUGUGAAACAAAUGUGUUUUGUUAUGCCAAGGGAUGGCAUUCAAGCAGACAAAUAAUACGCAUACUGCACGUGAAGAUGUGGAAGCGGAAACGUACAGAACUAGCGCUGGAGUCAGUGCUCCCUGCGAGGGAGCCUGCAACACGCUGCAAUCCGCUUUGCUGAGUGCACCACUGCCAGCCAGGAGCUGAUGGCACAGCUGAGAUCAAGAAGUGUUUUAAUCUCUUAAUAAAUUUCACAGC